GACGAACGCUGGCGGCGUGCCUAACACAUGCAAGUCGAGCGCUGAAGGUUGGCACUUGUCCGGUCUGGUUGAGCAGCGCAGGGGUGUGUAACGUGUGGGGAAUCCGCCUUUGUGCGGGGGACAACCUUUGGAAACGAAUGCUAAUACCGCAUAAACACCUUAAACACAAGUUUUAAGUUUGAAAGAUGCAAUUGCAUCACUCAAACAUGAUUCCGCGUUGUAUUAGCUAGGUGGUGCGGUAAAGGCUCACCAAGGCGGUGAUACAUAGCCGACCUGAGAGGGUGGUCGGCCACCAUGGGACUGGGACAGGGCCCAAACUCCUUGCGGAGGGAGCAAGAGGGAAACUUCGGCAAUGGGCGGAAAUCUGAACGCACAGCGCCGCGGGAGUGAAGAAGGGUGUCGGGUCGGAAAAGUCUGUUGGUAGGGAAGAAAGUGAGUGAGAGUGGAAAGCUCAUUAAGUGACGGUAACUGCCCAAGAAGGAACGGCUAACUACGUG
rnacentral:rRNA from 1 species